rnacentral:rRNA from 1 species
UACGGGGGGGGCAAGCGUUGUUCGGAAUUACUGGGCGUAAAGGGCUCGUAGGUGGCCAACUAAGUCAGACGUGAAAUCCCUCGGCUUAACCGGGGAACUGCGUCUGAUACUGGAUGGCUUGAGUUCGGGAGAGGGAUGCGGAAUUCCAGGUGUAGCGGUGAAAUGCGUAGAUAUCUGGAGGAACACCGGUGGCGAAGGCGGCAUCCUGGACCGGUAUUGACGCUGAGUGAGCGAAAGCCAGGGGAGCAAACGGG